rnacentral:rRNA from 1 species
UACGUAGGUGGCAAGCGUUGUCCGGAUUUAUUGGGCGUAAAGCGCGCGCAGGUGGUUUCUUAAGUCUGAUGUGAAAGCCCCCGGCUCAACCGGGGAGGGUCAUUGGAAACUGGGGAACUUGAGUGCAGAAGAGGAUAGUGGAAUUCCAAGUGUAGCGGUGAAAUGCGUAGAGAUUUGGAGGAACACCAGUGGCGAAGGCGACUAUCUGGUCUGUAACUGACACUGAGGCGCGAAAGCGUGGGGAGCAAACAGG